AACUCCGAAACGACGCCGCACCGCGGAAGAACCAUCACCGGCUGAGUUGUUUCGGCUUUCUCUCUCUACGGAACCAACACCAAUGAAUUCUCUGAAACGACAAUGCCUUGCCGCCGGGGGGUAAGCAUCGAUGGUCCCCAUGUUCCCUGACCUGCACGGCGCCCAUCACUCAACUACUACUCCACAGCUUCAACACCAAGCAGAGGAACCAACUGACUUGUUAAGGCUUUCUCUGAACUCUUCAGAACCAACAAAACCUCGUGGCCCAGUUAAAGGUGAUCAAGACCAGUGGCUGUCUCUGUCUGUGCUGCCAACACUGCCAUCCACUUCAUAACUCUGAACUCUGAACCAUCCACUUCAGAGUUUAGUCGAGACAGAGAGGUUUGGGUAUGAGCCUGUUUUGAGGUUGUCUUCAUCUGCUAUUUGCUCCUCAUCAAUCUUGGGGACUAUAGAUUUUGCACUUGGAGAGGUUACAAACUCUGGCCAAGUUGGCUACAUGGUAAUUGCUGAUCUAGCUCAAUUUGAGAUGACCGCAAAUAAACUAGAAGCAAAGAAGUUCUAGCCUGGCUUUGGCUAAGAAUCUUGCUUCAAGGUGAUGCGGCAGGUGUGUGCUGACCUUCUUGAGGAAAUGGAAUUGGUUUUCAUUGUUUCUAAGGAUGGAAUUGAUACUGUGAGAGUGGUAUGACGAUUCAAAUGCCUGAGCAAUAAGCUACCGAAAGGCAGGCAUUUGAUUGGGGAUAGCGUGGUUUACGAUGUGGGUGUUUGGUUGCUCGGGGAGUUUCAGCCGCAGCUAGAAGUUACCCCCAUAACCAAGUAUGAUUCGGAUCCUCAGCUGGUGUUGGGCUGCCAGAUUGCGGUGAAUAAGUCAUAUGUAUGCUAUGGAUUGAAGCAGGGGAAUAUUCGGGUGUGAGUGUAGAAGGAUGGCUUUUUGUCUGGAAAAUUUCUGAAGGUCCAGA